AAAGAUUCGGUGUGAUUCAAUCUAAAAAAAAAAAUGUCCAUGCUAUCAAAACAACUGGAACAUUUCGACCAGUGUUUGUUUUGAAAAAGCGCGCGGAGUACAGAAAAAUGAGAAAAAAAUCUAAAGUCAUCGAAAAUCAGCACAAAGUUGUGAUUUUAUUCACAUUUACUGUAAUUUUUGUGCAACAAUCAGUAAGGGAUGAAGGAAUGUGGCGGCAGCUUCGAAAUAAAAGUGAUCCAGUCGUAGAGUGGUGCCUGGAUGUCGCAGCUUCCGGUGGCGUCUGGAGGUGCAGCUACCGAGCAGCCGCACAAGGAUUCUUUAGACCUUUUUUUAAUUUUAUCGAGGAUGUAUUGGAUUAUUCCGUUGGAUGUCUAGAAAGACAUCGCAUUGGCCGGAGGAUACCCGGAGGGUUUAGCAGGGAUCAUUGACAUGCCCCCAAUGAAGCUGAAAUCUAAAACCGUUGAAUUUUGAUGAUCGGACGGAGGCAAGGACGAAUGCGGUGGUCAAGGUAAAACUGGAUUUGCUUUAUUUAUCACUUCGAUUGUUACACGAAACAUGAGGACUUUCAAGAUGGAGCACACACAUUAUCUUCAUCAUUGCGAAGUACAGUACAACUAGGGAUAGAGUUUAUAAUUUACAUAAUUGUCAUUUGUAUUUUUGUUAUUGUUGCUAAUUAAUUAAAAGUACUGGGGUGGGGUGUUUUAUUGGGUUAUAUAAGGUAUCCGAAAAUGUACCAAGGUUGAAGGGUCUGGUCAUAGCGAUGAUUAAAUUUAUAAAACAAACUACAGUCAAUUCUCCACAAAUCGAUCUUCUGAUUUAUUUAGAAAAAAAAUAGUAUUGUAAAUAGUUAAUUUGUAAUGAUAAAUAAGUAUUCACUGUUUUAUAUUUUUUAGAUCAUUAGGAUUGAUUAGUACGCAAUACUUAUGGCAAAAACUAUUUGUUAAUGAUGAUUUCGUGUUGAUCGUUAUAAUUUAUUAUGAUUAAUCAUCAUCGCUCUGGUUAUGACAAAAAUAUCUUGAGGUAUCAACUAGAUGGUUAUUUUUAAUGAAAAAUUUGUAUGAGUGAGUCUCGAGGUAAGUACAAAUACUUUUAAUCAAAAGCUUGAGGUCAUCGCCUGAAAUACGUAAUAUGUUAAGGGACCGUCCAUAAAUUACGUCACGCAAAAAUUUGCCAUUUUCAACCCCCCUCCCCCCUGUCACACUUUUUGUAUGGGUCCUCCAAAAUUUGUGUAUGGGUCAUCCACACUUUGCUGGACCCCCCACCCCCUCAAAGCGUGACGUAAUUUAUGGUCGUUCCCUUAUUAGGCCUGUCCACUGAACAAAAUACCACGAAGAUGUUGACAGUUUACAUGUCUUAAUAUAGUGACCUCAAGCUUUUAGUUACAAUUUACUCCGAAUUUGCGUGGUGGCAAUGAUCUACUUCAAACACUUUGGAAACUUUUUAAAAAGGUAGUAGGUGCUCACACGUUGCGGGGUGACGCAUUUGAUGUAUUCAUGAAAUAAGAAAAUUUCUCCUUAGUCUUUUGAACAGAUUCAUGUAUAAUUCCUGAAUCUUAUUCAGGAUGGCCUUAGCUUAGCUGGUUCACCAAGAACUUUCACAUUGCGAGGUGAUGCAUUUGAUGUUCGAUGUAAUAUUCCUCAAAGUAGUGAGAAUUUCUCCUUAGAAAGGUUCACGAAGUCCUCCUAAAGUGCUAGGUGAAGCACAAUUUGCCUACUUUGAAAUAAGCCACUUUUGCCUUGAAUAGUUCGAUGUAAUAUUCCUCAAUGCAGUCAGAAUUUCUCCUUAGAAAGGUUCACGAAGUCCUCCUAAAGUGCUAGG